rnacentral:rRNA from 1 species
GACGAACGCUGGCGGCGUGCUUAACACAUGCAAGUCGAACGGAAAGGCCCUGCUUUUGUGGGGUGCUCGAGUGGCGAACGGGUGAGUAACACGUGAGUAACCUGCCCUUGGCUUUGGGAUAACUUCAGGAAACUGGGGCUAAUACCGGAUAGGAGCUCCUGCUGCAUGGUGGGGGUUGGAAAGUUUCGGCGGUUGGGGAUGGACUCGCGGCUUAUCAGCUUGUUGGUGGGGUAGUGGCUUACCAAGGCUUUGACGGGUAGCCGGCCUGAGAGGGUGACCGGCCACAUUGGGACUGAGAUACGGCCCAGUCUCCUACGGGAGGCAGCAGUGGGGAAUAUUGCACAAUGGGCGGAAGCCUGAUGCAGCAACGCCGCGUGCGGGAUGACGGCCUUCGGGUUGUAAACCGCUUUCGCCUGUGACGAAGCGUGAGUGACGGUAAUGGGUAAAGAAGCACCGGCUAACUACGUG